rnacentral:rRNA from 1 species
UACAGAGGGGGCUAGCGUUAUUCGGAAUUAUUGGGCGUAAAGGGCGCGUAGGCGGCCAUGCGUGUCUUCCGUGAAAUCCCUCGGCUCAACCGAGGAAGUGCACCCGAAACUGCUGAGCUUGAGUGCCGGAGAGGAUGGCGGAAUUCCCCAAGUAGAGGUGAAAUUCGUAGAUAUGGGGAGGAACACCGGUGGCGAAGGCGGCCAUCUGGACGGUAACUGACGCUGAGACGCGAAAGCGUGGGGAGCAAACAGG